rnacentral:rRNA from 1 species
GACGAACGCUGGCGGCGUGCUUAACACAUGCAAGUCGAACGGAAAGGCCCUGCUUUUGUGGGGUGCUCGAGUGGCGAACGGGGGAGUAACACGUGAGUAACCUGCCCUUGACUUUGGGAUAACUUCAGGAAACUGGGGCUAAUACCGGAUAGGAGCUCCUGCUGCAUGGUGGGCGUUGGAAAGUUUCGGCGGUGGGGGAUGGACUGGCGGCUUACGAGCUUGUUGGUGUGGUAGUUGCUUCCCAAGGCUAUGACGGGUAGCCGGCCUGAGAGGGUUGACGGCCACCUGGGGACUGCGAUAUGGCCCAGAAUCCUACGGGAGGCAGCAGUCGAGAAUAUUGCGCAAUGGGCGGAAGCGUGAUGCGGCGACGCCGCGUGCGGGAUGACGGCCUUCGGGUUGUAAACCGCUUUCGCCUGUGACGAAGCGUGAGUGACGGUAAUGGGUAAAGAAGCACCGGCUAACUACGUG